rnacentral:rRNA from 1 species
GUGGCGCAAUAUUAGUGGGGAGGAGACGGAGUAAAAAGAAAGAUGCAUUGGAAAAAGUGGCAGGAUAUAGCGGUACCCAAAUGUGUUGGUGGAAUGGGUUUUAGGGACCUCCAGUUAUUUAAUAAAGCCAUGUUAGCUAAACAAGGAUGGAGGCUAUUGACUAAUCCCGAAUCGCUAUGUGCAAGACUUCUGAGAGGGAAGUAUUAUAACGGCAAAGACUUCAUGACCGCUACAAGAAGAAGGGGGUCCUCACACACAUGGCGCGCCAUAUUGUUUGGUAGAGAAGCUCUUGAGCUGGGCCUAAUCAAGAGGGUCGGUGAUGGCGAAUCAAUUAAAAUAUGGGAUGAUCCAUGGAUCCCAGCCAACUACAAUUACAAGACCUUAGUAAAGAUUCCUCUUGCUGCAGUUAAUAGAGUCAAUGAGCUACUGGAUGUAGAUAGCAGAACAUGGGACGAGGAAUGUGUGAGAACUAAUUUUACUGUGAUUGAUGCUGAAGCUAUCCUGUGA